rnacentral:rRNA from 1 species
GCUCCAAUAGCGUAUAUUAAAGUUGUUGCGGUUAAAAAGCUCGUAGUUGAAUCUCAGUUCAUGUUAAGUGGUCCGCCAUACGGCGGUUACUUCUUAACUGAACAUUUUACAGAUUUGCCUCUUGAUGCUCUUUACCGAGUGUCAUGAGCGAUCUGUACGUUUACUUUGAAAAAAUUAGAGUGCUCAAAGCAGGCAUUUUGCCCGAAUAAUCUUGCAUGGAAUAAUGGAAUAGGACCUUAGUUCUAUUUUGUUGGUCUCCGGAAUCUGAGGUAAUGAUUAAGAGGGACAGACGGGGGCAUUCGUAUUGCGGCGCUAGAGGUGAAAUUCUUGGACCGUCGCAAGACGAACUACAGCGAAAGCAUUUGCCAAGAAUGUUUUCAUUAA